GAUUCUUUUGUUUUGCAGCUUCUGCUAGUUGAAACAACUUGCAGUGAAAGGACCUCUUUAUCCUAUUUCACAUGACAUAAAUUAAGUACAUUGCUUAUAUCUGUUCCUUUGUUCCAUUUUCUGUUGCUCUUCUGUAGUGUUUCGUCGACCCGUCGACUGGAUCCAGAUUCUAUUCGAAGGAUGAAGUACUUCAAUUCAUACAGGUGAAGAAUCCGCUUGACCCCACAAACAAGGAGGACGAUGCAGCAGCUCAGAAAGUUGGCACUGAUGCAAAGCCCAUAAGAGAAGUGGGAGAGCUUACGGAGAUCACCGAGGGCGAGUUGAAAGGAUUUGUUAAAGAAGUCAAAUACAGAACGAGCAGAGGCAAAUUGAAGAAAGAUACGUUUUAUCAUUGUCGACGAAGUCGAUAUGUAUUAUUUUCCAAAGAGGAUGCUCUGCGCUAUGCCGACUCCGGAAACAUUCAUAAAUGUGUCGUAAAACCAAAGAGGAGUACCAUCGUUGGCGCGCAGAAUGUCGAAGUCCAACCUAGUGUAAGUUUAAACCGCAGCUUUCAUUUUUUUCCCUCUCUUCACCACCUCCCUCAAUGCUAACUGUGGCAUAGGACAGCAUAGAUUCCUAGGUAUACAUCCAUCAGUAGAAGGAAAUAAAAGCACAAUGAAUUAGGAAGAACUCGAGGGAUUCUGAAUUUAAAUGCAAUUUCAAGGAAAAGUAUGUUUACUAUUAAUGGCUCCUGAAGGUCAAAAAAUUUAGCUCAUGGUAAUCAUAUUU